GGGAUGGAAGCGAAUAGAGUCGACGAAACCUGUCUUCCAUCAUUCAACCGAUCAGCUCUGCGGUCUGUCACCGCGCUACCGUACGCAACACUGCGGAGUGUGUCGGUGGUGGUCACUGCUGAGUGGAGCUAGGCCUGUGUGAUCGGUGCAUUUGAUGGCGGUAUGCGCCGAGAGCCGCGUCACGGUGUGCGUCAACGUCUGCCUGGUGCAGUGGACCGUUGUACGUCUUCGGACGGGCGGAAACCUGCAUUCGACCGAGGCGCAUCACAGAUGCGGUGAACAGCCGUGUACAGCAGUCCCCAGGCGCUUGCCCGCGCCUUGCGCCUGUCGGCCUGACCGUGUGGCGGUGCGUACUGCGAGUGCUUCGCGGCGCGCAGUGCGUCCGUUUGCGGUCUGGCCACGGUCGUUUUGUGUGCGUUGGGACUGUGCCUCGGUGUGAGUGUCGAUCACCUAUUCGACCCGUCUUGAAACACGGACCAAGGAGUCUAGCAUAUGCGCAAGUUAUUGGGUGGUAAACCCGGAGAAAACGCAAUGAAAGUGAAAUCGGCCGUUCUGACGGUCGCAAACUGUGAGCCAGUCGACUCCGUCGGGCGCAACAGUGCCCCGUCUCGGUUGCCGUUGGCAACGGGGCGGAGGUAGAGCGUGUAUGCUGGGACCCGAAAGAUGGUGAACUAUGCCUGAGCAGGAUGAAGCCAGAGGAAACUCUGGUGGAGGUCCGAAGCGAUUCUGACGUGCAAAUCGAUCGU
rnacentral:rRNA from 1 species